rnacentral:lncRNA from 1 species
GCGCAUGGGUUGAAGUCACACAACACUUCAGUAAGCAUCGUGAAAUUAAUUCUGCAUCGAAAAGUCCUUCUGCAAGAAGACAUCUCUUCAGAUUAAUUUUCGUUGCCUUCCACGUGUUGUGAAAUUUUCAACCAAGCAUGAGAAAUAUUGAUGGAUGUGAGAUUAAGUGGAUAGUUAUGAGAUGAUGCUUGGAUGGGGCACG